CCGCAAGUGGAGACUCGGUCAACGACCAUUUAACUGAACUUGCCUUGCGCGCGAUCCGACAUUAUCACCGGAGAUUCUGCGUCUUGUGACCUUUGUCUCUCCGCCGUCCAUAUUUUCAUUUUGAAUCAAAUAAAACAAGUACACGACACACCAAAAACAAAACUACUAUUACAUUGGGUUUUCGUUUUGCAAGAAAGUCACCGAGGUUCACAGUUUCUCAGUGAAUUUAGUCGAGCGGUUUUUUUUGGCUAUUGAUGAUGGUACAUGGCGUGC